rnacentral:rRNA from 1 species
AGUGAACGCUGGCGGUGUGCUUAACACAUGCAAGUCGAACGAGAACGGUACUAGCUUGCUAGUAUGUCAGCUAAGUGGCGGACGGGUGAGUAAUGUAUAGUUAAUCUGCCCUUUAGAGAGGAAUAACUACUGGAAACGGUAGCUAAUACCUCAUACUCCUUUUACCUUAAUGGUAAUUGGGAAACGUUUUUUCGCUAAAGGAUGAGACUAUAUGGUAUCAGGUAGUUGGUGGGGUAAGAGCCCACCAAGCCUAUGACGCCUAGCUGGUCUGAGAGGAUGAUCAGCCACACUGGAACUGAGACACGGUCCAGACUCCUACGGGAGGCAGCAGUGGGGAAUAUUGCACAAUGGACGAAAGUCUGAUGCAGCAACACCGCGUGGAGGAUGACACAUUUCGGUGCGUAAACUCCUUUUAUAUGGGAAGAUAAUGASGGUACCCCAUAUGAAUAAGCCACCGGGCUAAUCUCCGGUGCCAGGCAGCCCGGCGGUAAAUACGGAGGGGUGGCAAGCGUUAUUCUCGGAAUCCACUGGGCGUAAAAGCGCGCCGCCAGGCGGCCCUUUUAAAGUUGGGAUUGUGAAAAGCCUAACGGGCUUCAACCCGUAAGAAACUGCAUUCCAAAAACUAUCAGGGCUAGAAGUUGUGGGAGAAGGAAGAAUGGAAAUUAAGUUGUGUAGGGGGGUAAAAAUCCGUAGAGAUAACUAGGAAUACCAAAAAAGCGAAGGCAAUCUUCUGGAAACAUUACUGACGCUGAGGCGCGAAAGCGUGGGGAGCAAACAGGAUUAGAUACCCUGGUAGUCCACGCCCUAAACGAUGAAUGUUAGUCGUCGGGUAGCUAGUCUAUUCGGUGAUGCAGCUAACGCAUUAAACAUUCCGCCUGGGGAGUACGGUCGCAAGAUUAAAACUCAAAGGAAUAGACGGGGACCCGCACAAGUGGUGGAGCAUGUGGUUUAAUUCGAAGAUACGCGAAGAACCUUACCUAGCCUUGACAUAUUAAAGAACACCCUAGAGAUAGAGUGGUGCCUUCGGGAGCUUUUUUACAGGUGCUGCACGGCUGUCGUCAGCUCGUGUCGUGAGAUGUUGGGUUAAGUCCCGCAACGAGCGCAACCCUCGUCACUAGUUACUAACGGUUCGGCCGAGGACUCUAGUGAGACUGCCUUCGUAAGGAGGAGGAAGGUGAGGACGACGUCAAGUCAUCAUGGCCCUUACGGCUAGGGCAACACACGUGCUACAAUGGCCAGGACAGUGAGACGCGAUACCGCGAGGUGGAGCAAAUCUAUAAACCUGGUCUCAGUUCGGAUUGUAGUCUGCAACUCGACUACAUGAAGCUGGAAUCACUAGUAAUCGUAGAUCAGCUAUGCUACGGUGAAUACGUUCCCGGGUCUUGUACUCACCGCCCGUCACACCAUGGGAGUUGAUUUCACCCGAAGCGGGGAAGCUAAACUGGCUACCCUCCACGGUGGAAUCAGCGACUGGGGUGAAGUCGUAAGCAAGGUAGCCGA